rnacentral:tRNA from 1 species
AAGUCGGAAUUUCAGUGGUGAGUAUCUCCGCCUGUUACGUGGAAGACCCGGGUUCAAUUCCCGGUC